CCAAUAGCGUAUAUUAAAGUUGUUGCAGUUAAAAAGCUCGUAGUUGAAUUUCGGAAUCAGUAUGUUGGUCGUGCUUCGGUACGUACUGUCAUUACUGGUUUCUACCUUCUGAAGAACCUUGAUGUCAUUAAUUUGGUGUCUUGGGGAAUCAGGACUGUUACUUUGAAAAAAUUAGAGUGUUUAAAGCAAGCAUACGCUUGAAUACAUUAGCAUGGAAUAAUGAAAUAGGACGUUUGAUUCUAUUUUGUUGGUUUCUAGGAUCGACGUAAUGAUUAAUAGGGAUAGUUGGGGGCAUUAGUAUUCAAUUGUCAGAGGUGAAAUUCUUGGAUUUAUUGAAGACUAACUACUGCGAAAGCAUUUGCCAAGGAUGUUUUCAUUAAUCAAGAACGAAAGUUAGGGGAUCGAAGACGAUCAGAUACCGUCGUAGUCUUAACCAUAAACUAUGCCGACUAGGGAUCGGAUGAUGUUAUUUUUAAUGACUCAUUCGGCGCCUUACGGGAAACCAAAGUGUUUGGGUU
rnacentral:misc_RNA from 1 species